rnacentral:rRNA from 1 species
CAUUACCGAUAUGCACAAGUGUAAACUGUUGUACCGUGUGAACUGUACCAAACCUUUGGGGUCGGUUUCGGUCGUUAAAUGGUGUCGUGGGGUCUCGGACGCGUGAGCGCGGCCGCCUCUCGACAGCAGCCCCGACUUUGUAUUAUCGUGCGCAAACGUGAAGACAGUGCACCCGACGGGCCUCGCGCCCUAGGGAACGAUAGAAAAUGAGAGAGACAACUUUUGACGGUGGAUCUCUUGGCUCGCGCAUCGAUGAAGAACGCAGCCAGCUGCGAUAAGUAGUGUGAAUUGCAGAAUUCAGUGAAUCAUCGAAUCUUUGAACGCAAAUGGCGCUCUUGGGUUCUCCCAGGAGCAUGUCUGUCUGAGUGUCGGAUUCCGUCGAUCGCACUUGAUUGUGCGGACUUGAGCGUCACGGCCGCAUGUGCGCCGUGUCGUUCGAAGGGCAUGAGACUCGUCGGCGCGCGCGCGGGAUAUCGUUUCCCUUGCGCACGUGCGGAGGCUAAAGAUUUUCUUGUCCUUCGCGUCGUGCGCAGUGCGCCAAAAAGUCGGAUCGAUCAGGCGAAAGAAAGCAAUGUAUCAUAUCUUGACCUCAGA